UAACCGUAGUUCAGCUUCAGCUAGUCCGGGACCUGUUAUGAGACCAAGCCGCCCUAGGACUAAAGUUGGAGUCGAUGAAUAAAGAACAACCUUCAGCCGACUUCUCCACCACUCGACAAAAUGGUUACAGUUGAAAAUUCGGACCUACUUAGAUAAAGACGUAUCGCAUUUCUUCUUGGCUCUGUAAAGUUUAAGAUUAUUAGAAACAAAACAAACCGAAGCGUUAGAUGUGUGUAAAAUAGGAAGCUUAUUGUACUUAAAGAAAUUUUAAACGGGGUUGUUGUCUCGAAGUUCGUACAGAAAUUAAUAGACUGACUUAUGAUGAUGUGCUUUUGAAAUAAACAUUGCUGUCUACUUUCA